CCUACGGGAGGCAGCAGUGAGGAAUAUUGGUCAAUGGGCGCGAGCCUGAACCAGCCAAGUAGCGUGAAGGAUGACUGCCCUACGGGUUGUAAACCUCUUUUAUAAAGGAACAAAGUGAGUCACGUGUGCCUCUUUGAAAGUACCCUAAGAAUAAGCAUCGGCUAACUCCGUGCCAGCAGCCGCGGUAAUACGGAGGAUGCGAGCGUUAUCCGGAUUUAUUGGGUUUAAAGGGGGCGCAGGGGGGUGUUUAAGUCAGUGGUAAAAGUUCGGGGCUCAACCAAAUAAUUGCAUUGAUAAUGGACGCCUUGAGUGCGCGUGAAGGAGGCGGAAUGUGUGGGGGAGCGGGGAAAUGGAUAGAUAUCACGAAGAACUCCGAUUGCGAAGGCAGCCUACU
rnacentral:rRNA from 1 species